UUUUUGUCUUUUUCAGCUCGACCUAUCCAUGAUCUCUUCACCACAAUAGUAGAGCCGCCGCCAUCACCCCGCCAUAUCCUCCACCACUGCUGAUCAACCACUUUGGGGCACUCCAUGCCAUUGCCACUGUAAAAAAGAGGCAAAGAUGAUCUAUGGCGUUGGAAAAUAAAAAUCGAUCAUCAUCUCCAUCCGGCGAUGAAAAAAAACUCCUCUCCCAAACAAGGGAAUGCUAGCUAAUUCAUGUUCAAUUUCUGUGGAAUGGACAGACAAGUUUUGCAGUUGUCAAGAGUACUUUUGCCUAAAACAACAAAACUUCAUAUAUUUCUUGCAGUGCUUUCGGAUAUGCAGUGGAAUGAAAGGCCUUAUUUUUUGCUUCUAUCGUUUAUUGUAUAUCUGAGGUUUCUGUUAUCUUUACCUGAUUGAAAUUUGUUGAUCUUUUGUAGGAAAUAGAUACCCUUUACAUGUAUGACAUUUUUCGAAAAUAGUGCAAGGUUCAUUCCAAAACCACAUCAA